UCCGGUAUGGUCAGUGGCUAGGAGGCCUGGCUUUCACCCAGGAGGCUCGGGUUUGAUUCCCGGUACCGGAA
rnacentral:tRNA from 1 species